UGGGGAAUUUUGGACAAUGGGGGAAACCCUGAUCCAGCCAUCCCGCGUGUGCGAUGAAGGCCUUCGGGUUGUAAAGCACUUUUGGCAGGAAAGAAACGUCAUGGGUUAAUACCCCGUGAAACUGACGGUACCUGCAGAAUAAGCACCGGCUAACUACGUGCCAGCAGCCGCGGUAAUACGUAGGGUGCAAGCGUUAAUCGGAAUUACUGGGCGCAAAGCGUGCGCAGGCGGUUCGGAAAGAAAGAUGUGAAAUCCCAGAGCUCAACUUUGGAACUGCAUUUUUAACUACCGGGCUAGAGUGUGUCAGAGGGAGGUGGAAUUCCGCGUGUAGCAGUGAAAUGCGUAGAUAUGCGGAGGAACACCGAUGGCGAAGGCAGCCUCCUGGGAUAACACUGACGCUCAUGCACGAAAGCGUGGGGAGCAAACAGG
rnacentral:rRNA from 1 species